UACAGAGGGGGCAAGCGUUGUUCGGAAUUACUGGGCGUAAAGGGCGCGUAGGCGGCCUUCUAAGUCGAACGUGAAAUCCCCGGGCUCAACCCGGGAACUGCGUCCGAUACUGGAAGGCUUGAAUCCGGUGAGGGAUGCGGAAUUCCAGGUGUAGCGGUGAAAUGCGUAGAUAUCUGGAGGAACACCGGUGGCGAAGGCGGCAUCCUGGACCGGCAUUGACGCUGAGGCGCGAAAGCCAGGGGAGCAAACGGG
rnacentral:rRNA from 1 species